AGUCCCAAAUUGUUUUAUAAAGUUUUACACAAGUUGUGUGCUGAUAAAUCCAAAUCGAUAUUUUUCACAAGAAUAAAAUAUGUUGUUUCGUUAAUUAAAAUAAAAAAAGUUUUUAUAAAUUUAAAUCGAAAAAUUUGUCCAUUUUAAUGUUGUAUACCUAAAAGCCCACAUAUACAUACGUAUUUUAUAAGAUGUUUACUGAAUACAAUUUUUCGAUUAUGUUCAUUAUUAUUAUGCGAGGAGAUAAGGUAUACGUGAAGCUACGAUGAAUAUAUGACUUUUUUACAAAUUCAAAUUUGAAUUUAUAAAAAUUGUUGGACACAACAAGUGUAACUCCAAAAAAAACUGCUAGACAUAAUUCAUUAUUUGAGACACAACUCGUUUGCAGCCGUUACUAUUUACCAGCAAGCCGCUAAUGCAUUAUAUUUAAGUGGUUUAAUUUCAUGAAUUGCGCGUGAUAUCAUUAUAUAUGUCUGGAAAUCAUGCCGUCGCCUUGGAUACGCGAGAGUAUACCGAGUAAAGAUUAAAGCUGUUACAUAAUGAAAGAAAUGGUUUGUGAAAAAUUGUUAAGUAAAUGAAAAAUAAACCCAAGUCAAUCUACGCUAAAACAUUCAUUGAAUAAUGUAUAAGUUGGGUAAAAUAAAUGUUUAUAUUUUAUUCAUUCAACAAAAGGAGUAUAAUAUAUUAUGUGCAAUAUUCAGUUGAUGUUUAUAAAUAUAGAAUAUAUAGAAUUCCAUUAGCCCUAACGUUGUAGGUAUAUAACAAGUGAAUACUCAA